rnacentral:rRNA from 1 species
GACGAACGCUGGCGGCGUGCUUAACGCAUGCAAGUCGAACGGAAAGGCCCUGCUUGCAGGGUGCUCGAGUGGCGAACGGGUGAGUAACACGUGGGUGAUCUGCCCCUUACUUUGGGAUAAGCCUGGGAAACUGGGUCUAAUACUGGAUAGGACCAUGCUGUAGGUGGUGUGGUGGAAAGAUUAGUUUCGGUAAGGGAUGAGCUCGCGGCCUAUCAGCUUGUUGGUGGGGUAAUGGCCUACCAAGGCGUCGACGGGUAGCCGGCCUGAGAGGGUGGACGGCCACAUUGGGACUGAGAUACGGCCCAGACUCCUACGGGAGGCAGCAGUGGGGAAUAUUGCACAAUGGGCGCAAGCCUGAUGCAGCGACGCCGCGGGGGGGAUGACGGCCCUCGGGUUGUAAACUCCUUUCAGCCAUGACGAAGCCCUUGUGGUGACGGUAGUGGUAGAAGAAGCACCGGCUAACUACGUG